AGGCGGCCGAGGAAGACGACAACGACGACGAAGCCGGCGGCGGGGAAGCUAGGCCCGGGAAGGCGGCCUCCAUAGCUCCCGGUGGAGGUGACUCGCUGGUGGCAGCGGCCCAGUUGCCGUUACUAUUGCUCCAGAAUCUGCCAGCUACACAAUCGCAUCCCGUCGCUCAGAUCCACCACCUUUUGUUUGGCUCCCUCCCUGAACCAGUCACCCAGCCCUGUUGUUGCACAGAAGAGCGCCUCAUUUGCAGCCAGCCGAGGACAGCAUCCUGCUUAAUUGCACAGGGAAGGUUUGGAAGUGCUGAGAUGGGAGGACAACUCCGGUUUUCCAAACACGGGAUCUGAAGGAGAAGAUCUUUAGAUGUGAGUGGCCAAAGUUCAGGAGCAAGCAAAGGAAGAUCCCACUCCAGAGACAAUGGAAACUGAGUGAAGGCAAAGCAGAGUCUCUGGCUUCCUGUGAUCUCAAAAUCUAUCUCCCGGCCCUCCUGCCACAGACAACCUGAAGGACGCAAACUCCACAGCUGCUUGAAGGUAUCUGCACCAAGAGACAUGUCUGGAAAGAAGAAGCUCACAAGGCUGGUAGCUGAAAUCCUUCAAGAACUCCAAAGAGCUUUGGCUUAUUUCUUAAUUGUCUACACUUUACUGUUAGGAGGCUUCAUUUGUGCCAGUCUGAUAUACCAGAUCUUAGCUUCCGAGUAAGGCCUGGGUAACCCAAAGUCUGCUUAAUGGGGACGAAAAUGAAUGAAUGGAGAAAGUACACAGCCUUCUUUCCCCGUUCCGUAAUGAAAACAAGCACAUCUGUAACUUGGGAUGCUUCCAGAUGAAAGUCCAGAUCCCUGAUGAUCUCCUGACGCCGCAGCUGGACACUUGCCAUGCCGAUGUUUCCUAGCACAUCCCUGUGACUGUUAUCAUCUCUCCUCCAAUAAGAGAAGCCUGCUUAGGAGUGGUGAUGUUUUGCUGCCAGGAGUUCCAGUGGACAUUCUGCGCUGUUAAGAAGGUGGGGUGGGAGAGAGUGUCACAUAUCCUGUCUCUUGCAUUUAGCCCCACGGUGACGUUUAAAGGCCAUGGUGCUUUGCCACCACGGCCAGCAAAAAUGUUACGGAUUCACCGUGCUUUAUUUUGUUUUAAGGGGAGAAAGCAACAAUGAGUGAUGUGGGGGCUUCGGUUCCUGGGUAGUAGGUGAGGCCUGCCAUUCUCUGGGCUCAGCUGACAAGGGGAGAGCUCCUUUGCUGCCUGUCAAUUCUCUGUGAGCACUCUAUGCUGACAAGUCAUUCCAUUCAGGUCCAUCUCAGAGGUGGGUUUCAGCAGGUUCUGACCAGUUCUGGAGAACCGGUAGCAGAAAUUUUGAGUAGUUCGGAAACCGGUAGUAAAAAUUCUGACUGACCCCGCCCCCAUCUAUUUCUGCCUCCCGAGUCCCAGCUGAUGGGGAGGAAAUGGGGAUUUUAUAAUAAUCUUCCCCCGGAGUGGGGUGGGAAUAGAGAUUUUGCAGUAUCCUUCCUCUGCCAUGCCCAAGCCACGCCCACCAAGCCACACCCACAGAACCAGUAGUAAAAAAAUUUGAAACCCACCACUGGUCCAUCCUGACCAUUUCCAGGUGGAAUUGGAAGGGAUGGGAGGGGACACAGAAACGGGGACCUCUUGGACAUUCCUAGAGAGGCCAUGAA